UCUUGUCUCUGGGUGGGUUCGGA
rnacentral:miRNA from 1 species